rnacentral:rRNA from 1 species
GACGUAGGGUGCAAGCGUUGUCCGGAUUUACUGGGCGUAAAGCGCGCGUAGGCGGCUCGUUAAGUGUGAAGUGAAAGCCCGGGGCUCAACUCCGGAAUUGCUUUACAUACUGGCGAGCUUGAGGGAUGCAGAGGUCUGUGGAAUUCCUGGUGUAACGGUGAAAUGUGUUGAUAUCAGGAGGAACACCCAUGGCGAAGGCAGCAGACUGGGCAUCACCUGACGCUGAGGCGCGAAAGCGUGGGUAGCAAACAGG